rnacentral:rRNA from 1 species
UACGGGGGGAGCAAGCGUUGUUCGGAUUUACUGGGCGUAAAGCGUGCGCAGGCGGUGAUGUAAGACAGAUGUGAAAUCCCCGGGCUCAACCUGGGAACUGCAUUUGUGACUGCAUCGCUGGAGUGCGGCAGAGGGGGAUGGAAUUCCGCGUGUAGCAGUGAAAUGCGUAGAUAUGCGGAGGAACACCGAUGGCGAAGGCAAUCCCCUGGGCCUGCACUGACGCUCAUGCACGAAAGCGUGGGGAGCAAACAGG